rnacentral:rRNA from 1 species
AUUGAACGCUGGCGGCAGGCCUAACACAUGCAAGUCGAGCGGAUGAAGGGAGCUUGCUCCUGGAUUCAGCGGCGGACGGGUGAGUAAUGCCUAGGAAUCUGCCUGGUAGUGGGGGAUAACGUCCGGAAACGGGCGCUAAUAACGCAUACGUCCUGAGGGAGAAAGUGGGGGAUCUUCGGACCUCACGCUAUCAGAUGAGCCUAGGUCGGAUUAGCUAGUUGGUGGGGUAAAGGCCUACUAAGGCGACGAUCCGUAACUGGUCUGAGAGGAUGAUCAGUCACACUGGAACUGAGACACGGUCCAGACUCCUACGGGAGGCAGCAGUGGGGAAUAUUGGACAAUGGGCGAAAGCCUGAUCCAGCCAUGCCGCGUGUGUGAAGAAGGUCUUCGGAUUGUAAAGCACUUUAAGUUGGGAGGAAGGGCAGUAAGUUAAUACCUUGCUGUUUUGACGUUACCAACAGAAUAAGCACCGGCUAACUUCGUG